rnacentral:rRNA from 1 species
CUGGUUUGGCUCCGGCUUUUUUUCUGUAGCUGCCCGCUUAAAUUUGUGUGUUCUGUUAUGCAACUUUUACUUUGAGAAAAAUAUAGUGUUUUAAGCAGGCGUUUCGCCCUCAUUCCUCCAGCACGGAAUAAUAUUAAAGAUAUUUAACCUCCUCUUUGGUUCUAAAACAAAAAAACUGAGAACACCGGACACAUGGGGGCAUUUGUAUUUAACAGUCAGAGGUGAAAUUCUUAGAUUUGUUAAAGACAAACUAAUGCGAAAGCAUUUGCCAAGGAUGUUUUCAUUAAUCAAGAACGAAAGUUAGGGGAUCGAAGACGAUCUGAUACCGUCGUAGUCUUAACCAUAAACUAUGCCAACUAGAGAUUGGAGGUUGUUCCUUACUCCUUC